CCUACGGGGGGCAGCAGUGGGGAAUAUUGCGCAAUGGGCGAAAGCCUGACGCAGCGACGCCGCGUGAGGGAUGAAGGUUUUCGGAUCGUAAACCUCUGUCAGAAGGGAAGAAAGUGCGUGGUGCUAAUCAGCCGCGUAUUGACGGUACCUUCAAAGGAAGCACCGGCUAACUCCGUGCCAGCAGCCGCGGUAAUACGGAGGGUGCGAGCGUUAAUCGGAAUUACUGGGCGUAAAGCGCACGUAGGCUGUUGUGUAAGUCAGGGGUGAAAUCCCACGGCUCAACCGUGGAACUGCCCUUGAUACUGCAUGACUGGAAUCCGGGAGAGGGUGGCGGAAUUCCAGGUGUAGGAGUGAAAUCCGUAGAUAUCUGGAGGAACAUCAGUGGCGAAGGCGGCCACCUGGACCGGUAUUGACGCUGAGGUGCGAAAGCGUGGGGAG
rnacentral:rRNA from 1 species